rnacentral:misc_RNA from 1 species
CCGAAGUGCGAUAUCCAGUCAUUGAAUUCAUUUUAAUGUUUGGCGUGUUGUUUUUUUAUUACUUCGAAGAGAGAAUAGCUGUACGAUAACCAAAACAGCUCCCUAUCGGGUUGCUUGGGACAAAAAUCAGCUGACAACC